ACCUGGCUGGCUCAGUCAGUGGAGCAUGCAACUCUUGAUCUCAGUGUUAUGAGUUCAAGACCCAUGCCUGGUG
rnacentral:tRNA from 1 species